GACGAACGCUGGCGGCGUGCUUAAUACAUGCAAGUCAACUGAACUUAAGAUAGCAAUAUUUUAAGGGAGGUGGCGCACGGGUGAGUAACACGUAGGUAAUCUGCCUUUAGGUCUGACACAACCCCGAGAAAUCGGGGCUAAUAUCAGAUGAUGCAGCGGCUCGACAUCGAGACAGUUGUUAAACCUUCGGGGGCCUAAAGAUGAGCCUGCGUCUGAUUAGGUAGUUGGCGGAGUAAAAGCCCACCAAGCCUGCGAUCAGUAGCUGGUCUGAGAGGAUGAUCAGCCACACUGGAACUGAGACACGGUCCAGACUCCUACGGGAGGCAGCAGUAAGGAAUAUUGCUCAAUGGCCGAAAGGCUGAAGCAGCAACGCCGCGUGGAGGAUGAAAUACUUUUGUAUGUAAACUCCUGUAAGAAGGGAAAAAUAUUCCGAUUUAUCGGGAUUGAUUGUACCUUCAGAGUAAGCCCCGGCUAACUACGUG
rnacentral:rRNA from 1 species